rnacentral:rRNA from 1 species
UCGGAGAUCCAUGCAGUCGAGCGGCAGCACGGGUACUUGUACCUGGUGGCGAGCGGCGGACGGGUGAUUAAUGCCUAGGAAUCUGCCUGGUAGUGGGGGAUAACGCUCGGAAACGGACGCUAAUACCGCAUACGUCCUACGGGAGAAAGCAGGGGACCUUCGGGCCUUGCGCUAUCAGAUGAGCCUAGGUCGGAUUAGCUAGUUGGUGAGGUAAUGGCUCACCAAGGCGACGAUCCGUAACUGGUCUGAGAGGAUGAUCAGUCACACUGGAACUGAGACACGGUCCAGACUCCUACGGGAGGCAGCAGUGGGGAAUAUUGGACAAUGGGCGAAAGCCUGAUCCAGCCAUGCCGCGUGUGUGAAGAAGGUCUUCGGAUUGUAAAGCACUUUAAGUUGGGAGGAAGGGCAGUUACCUAAUACGUAAUUGUUUUGACGUUACCGACAGAAUAAGCACCGGCUAACUCUGUGCCAGCAGCCGCGGUAAUACAGAGGGUGCAAGCGUUAAUCGGAAUUACUGGGCGUAAAGCGCGCGUAGGUGGUUCGUUAAGUUGGAUGUGAAAUCCCCGGGCUCAACCUGGGAACUGCAUUCAAAACUGACGAGCUAGAGUAUGGUAGAGGGUGGUGGAAUUUCCUGUGUAGCGGUGAAAUGCGUAGAUAUAGGAAGGAACACCAGUGGCGAAGGCGACCACCUGGACUGAUACUGACACUGAGGUGCCAAAGCGUGGGGAGCAAACAGGAUUAGAUACCCUGCCAGCCACCCCGUCAACGAUGUCCAACUAGCCGUCGG